AGACGUGGCCGACGCGGGUCAAAGUUUAGUUAUCUGUUCUUAUCAGCUUAAUAUCUGAUACGGGUUGUAUUUGGACCCAAGAUAUUAAACUUAUUUUUGCAAGUUGGCGGAGCCCUUGACGCUUGCUUCACCUCCGCCGCUGGUCAGCCCGGUAUUAUAAUCUUCGGGAUUAGCUCACGGUUU